GAUGAACGCUGGCGGCGUGCCUAAUACAUGCAAGUCGAGCGAACAGACGAGGAGCUUGCUCCUCUGACGUUAGCGGCGGACGGGUGAGUAACACGUGGAUAACCUACCUAUAAGACUGGGAUAACUUCGGGAAACCGGAGCUAAUAACGGAUAAUAUAUUGAACCGCAUGGUUCAAUAGUGAAAGACGGUUUUGCUGUCACUAAUAGAUGGAUCCGCGCUGCAUUAGCUAGUUGGUAAGGUAACGGCUUACCAAGGCAACGAUGCGUAGCCGACCUGAGAGGUUGAUCGGCCACACUGGAACUGAGACACGGUCCAGACUCCUACGGGAGGCAGCAGUGGGGAAUCUUCCGCAAUGGGCGAAAGCCUGACGCAGCAACGCCGCGUGAGUGAUGAAGGUCUUCGGAUCGUAAAGCUCUUUUGUUGGGGAAGAACAAAUGUGUAAGUAACUAUGCACGUCUUGACGGUACCUAAUCAGUAAGCCACGGCUAACUACGUG
rnacentral:rRNA from 1 species